GUUGAACGCUGGCGGCAGGCCUAACACAUGCAAGUCGAACGAGUGGCGGACGGGUGAGUAAUGUCUGGGAAACUGCCCGCUGGAGGGGGAUAACUCCUGGAAACGGUAGCUAAUACCGCAUACCCUCGGAUGUGCACAGAUGGGGUUAGCUAGUAGGUGGGGUAACGGCUCACCUAGGCGACGAUCCCUAGCUGGUCUGAGAGGAGGACCAGCCACACUGGAACUGAGACACGGUCCAGACUCCUACGGGAGGCAGCAGUGGGGAAUAUUGCACAAGGGGCGCAAGCCUGAUGCAGCCAUGCCGCGUGUAUGAAGAAGGCCUUCGGGUUGUAAAGUACUUUCAGCGAGGAGGCGUUACUCGCAGAAGAAGCACCGGCUAACUCCGUGCCAGCCGCCGCGGUAAUAC
rnacentral:rRNA from 1 species